rnacentral:rRNA from 1 species
AAAUCAAUUUGUUGGUCGUGCCUCGGUACGUACUGGUAUUAUUGGUUUCUACCUUCUGAAGAACCUUGAUGUCAUUAAUUUUGGUGUCUUGGGGAAUCAGGACUGUUACUUUGAAAAAAUUAGAGUGCUUAAAGCAAGCAUACGCUUGAAUACAUUAGCAUGGAAUAAUGAAAUAGGACGUUUGAUUCUAUUUUGUUGGUUUCUAGGAUCGACGUA